GUUUUGGUUUCGUAAUCGAAAUACUGAAAAGGUAAUUGGUGGUAAAUGCCUAUAUCUUCCCUUCCUCUCUCUAUAUAUUUCAACCUCUCUUCCUCUUUGUAGUUUCUAAAAUAUUUUCUUCAGAGUUGGCACGACCUCAUUGAUCUAGAGUUUCACGUUGGUGCACACACAAGCUCUCGUACAACAUUCUUCAUAUAUGGCUCUUCGCUGCUUAUCUCAAUCUUCAACAACUUCAUCUUAUCUCUCAGAGGCUCGUACUUUUAUCUCUCAGAGGCUCGUACUUUCUUCCAAUAGACCACUAUCUGGGGAUUUCGUAUGCAUGGGACGACCAAGGCAGCAGCUUCUGUUGUAGAAGAACAUGUCUCUGGGGCAGAACGCUGACAUUACCCUCCAAUUAGAUACAACAUUUGUCCUUGGGACGAUUCUAUUCUCGGAGGGAUCAAGCGUAAAGAGCAUAAUCGAAAGCGCCCUUGUUUUCUUGGUUACAAGGUGGAAGAACGAAGGGUUCCGGUAGAAGAACUGAAGGAAGCAGAAGAAGUUUUCUGCAGUGAAACUGCCACUGGAGUUGUAUGUUGGAAGCCUCACUUUUCAGAACACAAGGUUAAACUUGUGACAUAAAUCUCUCAUAUAUCAACGUAUCAUAUUAGUAUCCUUAGGGAACGUAACUUUGUCAAGGAUACCUUUGAUUGCCUUCAGAAGACUUGCGGGUUCCUUAUACCUGAGUUUUGGAAAGAGACCAAUUUUUCAAAAUCGCCCUUCGAAGAGCACACUGUCUUGGCAGAGCCUUUGUCCAGCAGCAAGCUUAUCACCGGGGUUGACGACCAAAUCUAGAUUCAUGACGCUCUUAUUUUUUCUCCAUAUAUGAAUUAAGAUGGUUUUUUUUGGUUAGAAACCAUGCUUUCUAGUAUAGGUUAUAGGUUAUACCAAAUAUUCUGGUUAAUUUUUUACUUAAGACGAUCAAAUUUUUCCAUUUUCAAAAUUUUAUCAUUACAUUGAAAUCGGU